CCUCCCCUCACGCGCCCGCCGCCAUCUUGGCUCGGCCCGUCCCGCCCCGCGGCCCCGCGCUGAGACUCCUACUGGGUGAGGCAAGGCGGGGCGGGGCGCAGAGCGACUCCGCUCUAUAAAGGGCAGCGCGGGGGAGUGACGGUCCUUUCUGUCAGCACGGCGGCGCGGGGAGCCGUGCGGCGACCGGGAGAAUGAAGCUGCGGGAAGCGUCCGGGUGAAUAAAGCUGCGUGUGCUCCGCCA